UACGUAGGGUGCAAGCGUUGUCCGGAAUUAUUGGGCGUAAAGAGCUCGUAGGCGGCCUGUCGCGUCGGCUGUGAAAACCCGGGGGCUCAACCCCGGGCCUGCAGUCGAUACGGGCAGGCUAGAGUUCGGCAGGGGAGACUGGAAUUCCUGGUGUAGCGGUGAAAUGCGCAGAUAUCAGGAGGAACACCGGUGGCGAAGGCGGGUCUCUGGGCCGAUACUGACGCUGAGGAGCGAAAGCAUGGGGGAGCGAACAGG
rnacentral:rRNA from 1 species